AACCUCAUCAACCAGAAUGGAUUCCUUCUGGUCAAUGAGGUAUGUACGACAACCUUGUCGGCCAGAAGGGAUUCCUUUCGGUUGAUGAGGUA
rnacentral:miRNA from 1 species